rnacentral:misc_RNA from 1 species
AAUUCCAGCUGGAAUAACUGCUCCCGUCAAAACUAACUGCUGCUAACCACUCCAGCACAACUCUAACCACUUCAGACAUACCUAACUGCUUCCAGCUACGAUUCUAACUACUCAAGACAUCCCUAACGGCUUCCCUGAACCUCCUGUACGUGACAAUACCUCCCACAUGAGCACAUUCUUGUCCCAAGGAUUGUGCUAACUCAGGAAAUUGGGCAAGAAGAAAAGAGGUGUCCUCCCUUGUAGCUUCAUCAACUGAAAGUCCCCCACUCUACGAGGGCUUGAGGGACUUGCUGGUGAUUCCUAGCGAUGACUUUGGACUGCAACACCUUUUCUGGAUGCACACAAAUCUUUUCAGCCAAUUCAACAU